UUAGCUAGCUAGUAUGAAUUAUAUAGUAGCUAGCUAGAAAUGUGAAAGUUAACAGAUAACGUUAGACAUUAAUUUGAGAGAAGUUAGCUUUUUGUACAUAUGGAACAUUUCUGGGAUGUUUUAUUUCAGCUCAUGAAACAAACACUUUACAUGUUGCGUUUAUAUUUUUGUUCAGUAUAAUUAAAUCAAUGUCUGUAUAUAUGUAGACUUCAAUGCACAUGAAAGUUACCUACUUAGUUAGCCAGUUAUAUACACUGUAUAUAUGUAGACUUCAAUGCACAUGAAAGUUACCUACUUAGUUAGCCAGUUAUCGUGUGCGGCUACAAUAUGUAAACAUGGGUUAGUUCGCGACGAUGCGAUUCCUUUCCGAUGCUAAUGAUUGUAUCCAGUAUCCACCUGCACUGAGACAAUGUAGCUAGCUACUUUAUUCGGUUAAUUCAGGUUACUGCACGUUUAUUCAUGUUUCCUUGCAAUUGCAAAUACCGUGAGCAAAAAUGACCAGGGGGAAGGUAGCUUUAGGUUCCGCUAACACCGAGUUGAGUCUGUGUCAAGCUAGCUAACAAUGUAUCUGGGAGCCAGUCGCUUACCUCCAUAAUACCGAGAAACGGUGUGAAACAGGGCUAUAGGCCAGGAACGCCAUCUUGGCUCCUCCAUGACAACAAGCAGACAGAUGGGAUGCAGCGGAGCCGUCGGGGGCUGAGCACACCCGCGCGUCCACGACUCCGAAUUCCGCUACUGUUGUUGCGUGGGGCAUGGCUGGUGCGGGCUUCUCGGAUGCUGCUACUGCAACCACCUGCAUAUGCUUUUCAUCUUCCAUCAUUAGUGCAAACCUGGUUUAAAACAAUCAGUAGUACAAUUAGAGGAUCCUGAAAACUUAUUCUGCAAACUCUUGACAGCUGUUUGAAUUGUAUUCAUUGUAUGUCAUCAUUCCGCUCCUGGAACUAUAUAUUGUGGUGACUUUACUUUCUUGAUUGCCAUGGGGUUUUGAUAUCAGCUUAAAGACAGUAAGGGGAUUGGCUGCAUCUGCUAUAAUAAAGAUCAGAGAUAACAAGGCAGGACUUGGAUAGACUACAAAAAGCACUCAUAAAAAAACAAAGCACUCACUUGCUUGCUUCCGAUGUUAGUCUAGGAACGGCUUCCAACUUUUUCCCUAUAAAUGGACCUUGAACCUAUGAUAGGAAAAUAUGUUCGAAAACUCAUAGUAACCGCAGUAUUUGUGAUGUGAAUUUAGUAUGCUUAUUGGUCAUAAUAUGGAUAUAGUUAUAAUGCCAAAUGUUCCCUGAUGUACUAAAUUCGUGCAUAAACUGUUUCCUUACUUU